rnacentral:lncRNA from 1 species
CCUGGGGCAUCCCAAGCAUUAUCAGAACAAAGGAAAAUAGUUGUGUUUCAAAAGUGUUUUGAAAGGCCAGCUUUCCUUUCAGAGCUCCUCAUUUUCCGGUGCAUUUUUCCAUACAACUUUUCCUUAUGAUUAAGAAUGGUACUUUUCCACAAAAUACUUCCUUUUCAUUUAAGACAACCUUUCUUUUUCCUUUAGGGAAAAGUGAUCAUCACCCAAUGUGUUACAUUUGGUUUAGUUUUGAUACCUAGAUUGGGACAGUCAAGAACUUUCAUAUCAUGCUUCAGGUACCUUGUGGGCAAGGAGAGCUGCAAGCAGACAGAAGUAUUACAGACUGCGUGAGACCACCUCAAAUUCUUUGUGGAGUCAAGGAUAACUUCUCCCCCCAUUUUUUACUUAACAAGUUGUUUGAGAAGCACGCAGCUUACGGAAAGCAAUGGCUCUUUCAUCAUUGUGCAGUUCAGAUCUCUUCUGCCCAGAGAUCUCAGCUAUAGAUACCACAGGGAGUGUGGAAAUGUCAGUGUUCCAGUGAUUAAGAACUGCCAGCUGGAAAUGACUGAAGUGUCCUCAUAUAAAUGCAUAAGUAUAAACUAAAUGAGCUUUAUGGUUGAAGUUCAUCUGCGGUCUAGAGGGUAGGGGUUAUAAACAUUCCAUGGAGAAUAGCAUUUAUUUUAUAUUUUUAUUUAUGAGAAGGAACAGUUUGCUGCCAUAGUGAAGAAAAGAGCUAGUUUCUUUC